rfam:Phytophthora infestans T30-4 supercont1.47 genomic scaffold, whole genome shotgun sequence.
GGUCACGUAGCUCAGUGGUUAAGAGCACCGCAAUUUUGCGGAUGGACGCGGGUUCGAAUUCCGCCGUGUCCA